rnacentral:rRNA from 1 species
UAAGGAAUAUUGGUCAAUGGAGGCAACUCUGAACCAGCCAUGCCGCGUGCAGGAUGACGGACCUAUGGUUUGUAAACUGCUUUUAUACGGGAAAAAACCUCUUUACGUGUAAAGAGCUGAUGGUACCGUAAGAAUAAGGAUCGGCUAACUCCGUGCCAGCAGCCGCGGUAAUACGGAGGAUCCAAGCGUUAUCCGGAUUCAUUGGGUUUAAAGGGUGCGUAGGCGGAAUGGUAAGUCAGUGGUGAAAGCCCUUCGCUUAACGAAGGAACUGCCUCUGAUACUGCCAAUCUUGAGUACAUUUGAUGUGGGCGGAAUGUGUCAUGUAGCGGUGAAAUGCUUAGAUAUGACACAGAACACCGAUUGCGAAGGCAGCUCACAAAACUGUAACUGACGCUGAGGCACGAAAGCGUGGGGAUCAAACAGG